rnacentral:rRNA from 1 species
UACGGAGGUGGCAAGCGUUGUUCGGAAUUACUGGGCGUAAAGGGCGCGUAGGCGGCAAGGCAAGUCAGGUGUGAAAGCCCCGGGCUCAACUCGGGAACUGCAUCUGAAACUGCUGUGCUUGAGUCCUGGAGGGGGUAGUGGAAUUCCCAGUGUAGCGGUGAAAUGCGUAGAUAUCUGGAGGAACACCGGUGGCGAAGGCGGCAUCCUGGACCGGCAUUGACGCUGAGGCGCGAAAGCCAGGGGAGCAAACGGG